rnacentral:lncRNA from 1 species
CAUAAAUAAAAUAAGUGUGUUUUUUUAGGAUUUACUAUGAGCUAAAUAUGUUCUCAAGAAAAAAAUUGUGGAGUGAUCCGCCAUUGGCAACGUGGCAAAGAGCGAGGUUCAUCUAGCAAACAAACUCUUGCAGCUAUUAUCGCUGGAGUGGUGGGGAGAUUGGUCUUGGCUGCAGCUCUGUUAAUUAACACUCAUGAUCUAUAACAUGAAGAAAGACCACUGUCAACCAGCAGAACACUUCGAACGGAGGAUAUCUGGAACCUAAGAAAAAGGAGUUUAUUGCGUAACUUCCUUAUGCAUGCAUGACUAAGUCACUUUGAAUAAAAGCGUCUACUAAAUGGCAUAUUAUAUGAAGACCGUAUACAUCAAUGAUGUCGAUCUUGCUGCUGGUGAUUCUCUGAUCCACCUCUACACAGACGACACCAUUCUGCAUACUUCUGGCCUUUCUUUGGACACUGUUAACUAACCUCCAGACGAGCUUCAAUGCCAUACAACUCUCCUUCCGUUGCCUCCAACUGCUCUUAAAUGCAAGUAAAACUAAGUGCAUGCUCUUCAACCGAUCGCUGCCCGCCCGUCCAGCAUCACUACUCUGGACGGUUCUGACUUAGAAUAUGUGGAUAACUACAAAUACCUAGGUGUCUGGUUAGACUAUAAACGCUCCUUCCAGACUCACAUUAAGCAUCUCCAAUCCAAAAUGAAAUCUAGAAUUGGCUUCCUGUUUCGCAACAAAGCAUCCUUCACUCAUGCUGCCAAACAUACCCUCGUAAAACGGACUAUCCUACCAAUCCUUGACUUCAGCUAUGUCAUUUACAAAAUAGCCCCCGAUGCUCUACUCAGCAAAUUGGAUGCAGUCUAUCACAGUGCCAUCGGCUUUGUCACCAAAGCCCCAUAUACUACUCACCACUGCGACCUGUAUGCUCUCGUUGGCAGGCCCUCGCUUCAUAUUCGUCACCAAACCCACUGGCUCCAGGUCAUCUAAGUCUUUGCUAGGUAAAGCUCCGCCUUAUCUCAGCUCACGGGUCACCAUAGCAGCACCCACCCGUAGCGCGCACUCCAGCAGGUAUAUUUCACUGGUCAC